UUUCUUUUCAUUUUUCCAGCUAAGGGGAAAGAAAAUAAAUGAAAUAAAUUUUGAAUUGACAAUAAAUAUUGUAAUGAGCCCUGAAGUAAUUUGGAAGCAUUUGCUACUAAUGCAUCAAUUAUCAAUAUUUUCCUAUUCAUGGCUCCAAAAACAUUUUCGAGAAGUAUACGAUAAGAUAUAAAAGAAAGAUAAACUACUCAGAGGUUGAAUAUAAAAGUGAGGUCGGAGACAAAAAUGGCUACUUUCUUAAAUGGUUACUUUCUUUUCAUAUAAUCAAAGGAUGCAUUAUCACGUGAUAUUCUGUUGUAGCUUAGUAAGUUACAAGUUUGAAUUCAUUUUUCUUAGAUACUAAUUUACCCCCACUCCGCAUCCAUUAUCUAGUAUUGAGAUAAUAAUUUGAUAGCACUAAUUGUAUAGAAUUAAUCACACAAUAAUUAAAUAUUAGAUCAAAAUAUAUUGUGUGUAUUCAAUGUCUCAGUCAAAAUUCGAUCACCAUCGUAAAGAAUGUACUAUAUAAAACAUUUAGACUCAAAUUUACUUGAAAUCGCAGACUAGCGUCUAUUUUUUUUUUAGAUUUGUAAAAUCUUUGUUUAACAUACCACUAAUGAUUUCUAAUUGUCACUGUAACGUAAUAACGUGUUUGUCAUUAAAGUAUGUCUGUGAAGAAUAAAUGUUUUUUUAGCUGUCUUAACUAUUUCUUAACAUUCACAGAGAAAAAUAUCACUGCUUUUUGUUCCUUUUUAUCCACGUACGUUUAUAUCCACGUACUUUAGGUGGCAGAUCAGUAAUGUAUCAUGUUUCAGAUUAAAAGCCCUUCUAGGCAUUGUGUCGACUCUAAAGAUAUUAUAAUGAAUGGAAUCCAAAACUGCUGUCACAUUGCAAAAACAAAAAGUGUAAAAUAAAAUAAAAACAAACACGUAGUUCAUGAAAAUAUUUUAUCUCUUUUGCUCUGAGCGUGACAAAUAACUUUUAGCACCGAAACAUUGCAGCGUCUUGCGACUGUGGAAUGACAAAUAACCUGGAAAUGCCUGAAGAUGUCAUGAAAAAAACUUAGAAAAAACAAUGGUUUAGGAUUGCAAAUUUUCUCUCAUCUUAUAUAACACUACCAUGUCAAAUAUUUCAUUAGCUUUGUCACCUUUAUUUAAAAAGGAAACAGAAGUAACUUUCAAAUAUUCUGUCAAUUAGGAAAAUCUUUGUAAAAACGAUUUUUUUUCAGAGUUGAUAGUAAAGUCCACUUCGUGAUAUGUCGUUUCGUUUACCAUUAUAGCGUCAAUUUCAUUUUGAACACAGAAAUCAGUUUCACUUGUAUGUAAACAUCCUUAAAAAUAACUUCUUGUUAUCUGAAUGAUACGAAAGAUGGUAUGAUACAAAAGAUAGUAAAACCUCCCCUUAUCUUUCAUUUACAUCGAUAAAAGUAUCACAACAAUAUACAGCAGGUAUAUGAGACAUUAAAAAUAUAUAAAUAAGAGAGUUAUUUAAAAUGCAUGACGUUUAAUGAAAAUUGAUUAAAUUCAACGUGUUUAAAACUCUCUUAGUCCCGACCUACGGAGAUAUUAUGAUAGUUUUAUAAUUUGUUUAAACUAUAGUUUGAGCAUUUGUAGGAACAUUAUCUACCUUUUCAUAACAAAAAUAUCUUAUUUUCUAAUCUUCUAGAAUAUAUUACAGGUUUUCUUUAGAAUUUCUGUUCUAGCAUCAGUAGUUAACUCUUCCCGAGGAGAUAAACAACAUACUAACACUUAUUAGCUCACAACACAUAACAUAAUUAGAAAAAAACUUUAAAACACAGAACAAAGGCCUUCCGUUCCAUUAUUUUCAAACUAUCGACAGAAUACAUUCUCAAACGAACUGCUUGCAACGCUUUCAUUCUCUGUUUUUCUUCCUAUCCUUCAUUCAUUGAUUAUUCCGACAUUUUUAUAUUUUCCUCCAGAAAUACAGCUCGUACACCGCUGUCUGCAAAACGUUAUCAUAAAAUAUCCAUUCUCUGUAUUGAAUAGUAAUUUCAUAAUUGGAUUUUGUUUUUUCUUUUAUUUUUUGUUAUAUUUCUCCAGUUAAUGUUUUCGAUUAAGCGCCUUUGUUUUUCUUUGGGAUAAUCUUUGUCUUUCAUUAUAAAUGUGAUUUUUUUUCAGAUUUUGAUUUUGUGUUUAAUUGUCUGUACAGCCGAAAAGGGUUUUGUAAUAAUAGGCUGAUAAAUCAUCAUUCGACGGUCGAGAAUAGGCAAUACUGGUUGCAUAUAGUGGUUUGUUUAAACGAGAGAACCAAAUAAAUAUGGAGAAUGAUAAAUCAUUAGUUCCUUCUUUAAAAAGAGAGAAAAUAAUGAAAACAGUUAGUUUAGUCACAUUAGAGUUAAAUUGGAUUUAUUUUCACGCUAAAUACAUAUAUCUCUUGAAUUAUCUACGAUUAUAUGUACACAUAACAUGUACAAAACAUACACGUAUACACUCAAACAUAUACAGAUUCUGAGAAAAGCACAAAUUUCUUAAAAGUUAGGAACGUAUAAUCAUAUUCAACUAAUUCGCCUAAAAUUAGACAUGGAAAGAUAUACGCUGCAUAAAUAUUCUCAAGAGAAAAUUUCUGUUUCUUAAACAGCACGAGAAACGCACUGUUGGACUGUGAAUGACGUCAUCUGAUCUUAGGUAACAUGCAUUCUCUGUUAAUAGUCGUCGUCAGUUACGCCAUAACCACUAAGAACACGCUGCUCAUAUAUUUUAAAAAUCAAAUGAUUAUUUGCUGAUGUGCGCAAAACUUUGUUAACUUGCAAUAAAUUAAUCACAAACGCACUAAACAGCGUUGGAUUUAACAUAGGUGUUUACAGUAACAUUUAACGUGUUCCCGUAUACUCUGGUUUGGAAAAAAUAUCCUGUAAAAAUUGUCUACUAAGCAAGUAAAACAAAUAUAGCUACGCUUGCGUAUGUUAAAACUCUUCUGGCUAACGAUGAUAAAAGACAACACGCUAUUAUCAUGUCUUCAGUGAAGAGUGCUUAAGUGCAAGUAUACUUAAUAUGGUCAAUGUCUGUUAUUAACUCGGCAAUAAUGAUCCUUUCCUUCUUGUUGUUUUGUCCUAAUCGUCCCUGGUAGAGCGACCUAUAUACAUAAUCAUAUAUGUUCAAACCACGAACAAUUUUUUCUGAGCUAUCCCUUAUCUAAUUUUAUUGCACAGAAAGAGUGUACGUAUGCAUGCAUGUAUGUAUGUAUGUAUGUAUGUAUGUAUGUAUUUGUGCAUGAAUAAAUCUGUUGAGGAAGAUUAUGUGUGUGACGCAACAUCGUAAUUUUACUGGUACAUACUUGCUGAAGAAAGGCUUUACUUAAAUUGUAAAAGUUUCCCUCUAAUAUACGCAAAAUAGCUUGCAUUUUCUUCCCCAACAUCUUCUUGAGGAAUAACAUUUGGGUUUCUAAUAUUCAUAUCAGGAAGAAAUUUGGUUGUCGGCGAUAGCGUGUCUAACAUAAAGAAAACCAAAUACGAAUUUAAAUCGCGAAUCUAAUUUAUGUUAGAGCUAUUUGCACACUACUUUUGAGUUGAACUUUCUUCGUUCAAAAGUACUUUCUCGAAAUUUUAAUUACGAUUGCCUAACAUUUUAUUUCAGAAAUUAUUCAAGAUAAUCUUAUAAUUUAUUUUCUAAACAAACAAUUUUAUCGUGUUAUAUCUAACCUGAUAUAUUGAUGCUUAACGAUGAAUGAGUGAAAUCGGAAUAUUUUUAUAAGAAUUUCUUCAUUAAGAUUUAUACAAUAGUCUGUAAUAUACGUUUGCUUUAAAAUGCAAUUAAAAGUGUGUGGAGAAAAUAUUGCAGCAUUCAGGGGCGAUCUCUAGUGCAAAUUACAAUCAAAUUUACACUUAAAAGCUCCAAAUGUAUAAAAAAAAAUGGGUAGGGGAAGAGAAUGAAGAGGUAGUUUUUAUUUGACGGGAAUUGAGAGGGAAGAAGAAAGUAAAAGAAGAAAUGUUGUAUGAAGCACACACACAAACACAACACACACACACACACACACACACACACACACACACACACACACACAUGCACACACACAUAUGCACACGUAUACACGCACACACAUAAUUUGAAUUGGAAUAUAAAAAUAUAUAAAUAGAUGUGUGAGUAAAACAAUGAAUACAUACACGAAUAUAAAGGUAGUAAGACGCGUGAAAGGAAAGCUGUGAGGUUAAAAGAAAAUGAUAUGAAUAGAAAUGGAUAUGAAAAAUCUUAUGAAAUGGAAAGGAAAAGGAAUUUUAUAUGGCAAUAGUGAGUGGAAAUGCAGUGUGCAGCUUAGACAGUCGGUGCAAUGGAGAAAAUGAAAGAAACAUACAAACCUAAUAUUAAAUCUCGUCUAUUUAGGAAGACAAACAAGGAAGAAAUAAUUGAGUAGAGAAACAAACGGUCAUACACGAUAGAAAAAUUAGAAAUGACUGAAAUAAUGACGGAAAAAUAUGUUUGCAAGAAAUCAAAAAUUCAUGUCUUUCGUUUCGUGUAUACUCGGUUCAUGAUCAAAUGAGUAAUAUGAACAACUGUAUUUAUAAAGCGGUACAAGCCUAAAAAGUCUAGGUCGAGCUGACAAUUUCAAGAGACAAAUGCAUUUGGAUAAACUUGUUUCUCUGGAUGUUAGAAAGACUAGAAAUCUUGAUGAAAACGUAUUCUGAAUUUGUUCUCAGUUUCUCCGCUGUAAGUUAUGAGUUUUAUGUUAUUGCCUGCAAGUGCCGUUUAUUUAUUUAUUUUUUACGUAUUAAAAUUUCAAAUAAAUUUCAGAAAAAUAUCUAACGGCAAAAAUAGUCACAAAUAUGAAACAUUUAAGACGAAAUGGACCGCUGGUCAACAGUAUAGCAGACCGUAUUCAUACCGAAAAUUAAUAUUCAGGGAGUUCGAGAAAGGAUCUAACAAAGUGACUAUGUUAUUGAUCAAGUGGUUGUUAAUGAAAAUCGUGGCAUCGCAUGAAAGAAAUUUACAGUUGAAGUGAGCAAAUUCAUGUUAGUUUAUGGCUCUUCCAUGAUGUAUUAAUAACUUUGAUUUACGCACAAUAUUCUUAUACACUUCAUUAGUUUUAUCCUCCUUUUCAUUGCUCUUUACUUGAUUUAAAUUCUUAAAUAUAAAGAGCUUAAAUUUACUGCUUAUUUUUCUUUUUUCGAAUUGAGUCAAGUGUAAAACAAAACAGCUUAUAUAAAAUUCUAUAUAGCAAUUUCUGAUCAAGUGUUGUGAACAGGAAUCGCAGGAAAGACAAGAUGUACAAACAAAUUUAGGUACAUAGCUUGCGGAAUAUUAUGGUAAAUAUUUGAUAUUUCGCAGCAAACCCAAAUGCUUGUAUCUAUAUUUAUUUUUUAAAUGUUAACUGUGUGUCUAUGUAUACACAUAAAAGUAUGUACACAUAGACACACUUUCUUGUUCAGACACAUAUAUAUGUAUGUAUGCAUAUUUGAAUAUUAUAUACAAAUGCCAAUGUCUAUAGCUAUCCAAAUUUUUUCUCUCUCUCUCUGUCACUCACUCACUCAAUCUAUGUAGUAUAUAUGAGUGUGCAUAUGUAUAUGUGUGUAUAUUCAAUAUAUAUAUAUAUAUGAAUGUGCAUAUAUAUAUAUAUAUGUAUAUACAAUAUAUAUGUAUAUAUAAAAAUGCACACACAUAUGUAUACAUGUGUAUACAUGUGUGUGCAUGUAUAUGUAUGUGUAUACACACACACGCAUACACACACAUUCACACACACAGACACACACACAUAUUCUGCUUAUAUUGUCUAAGUCACUCGCUGAACGUAUAUUUGAAUGUGACUAAGAUACAUGAAUAUUCUUAUAAAUGUUUAUAUUAAGAGAAAGCGUUACACACACAUCCACACACUGAAAAAGAGACACAAACAUUUUCACACACUCUAACAUGCGUAUAAAGUGGGAGAGAGGGAGAGAGAGAGGAAAAGAAAGAAUGAGAGAGAAUGUGUAGUAGAAGAGGAGUGAGUGUAAACGUAAAUAAACGGGAAAUAAACGCAAGCAGUGAAGAUAUUCCUAUCAAAAUAUAAGAAGGCAGUUCAAGAGAUAUGCAAACAAACAAUGUGUAUAGUGAAGAAAUAGAUGAUGAGUUAUGUGGAUAUUGUCUAUGUUUGCAUGUAAUCGUAACGUAAUAGAGAUAAAUGCUGCUGCUGGUUACAGAACAAGCAAUAUUUCGGGUCAAUAAAAUGUAAUAAUCAUGAUAUUUAUGUGCCGUUUAUGAGCAUAUAUCAAUAUCAUACAGUUGUUAUAUCUUCAUGUAAAAUUCAAUUGUUGGACAGGGUGAUUAAAAAUACCCCCUCUCUCUCUCUUUAAAUGCCACGUAUAAUUAUACGGUGUAUACUAAUUUUAUAUUCUAUUUCUAUUCAUCGAAUAUUUAAGGAUGCAUUCAAACUUAUCACAGGAAUAUGGAGUCUCAGUCAUAAGAAACGUGACGCGAUCUUAAUUAUAUCUGUGCUCAUAGUUUCACUUGUCAUCUACAAGACAUCACAAAUAAAUAAUUACAUACUUACCAGUCCAGUAUCUGCAUUAGUUACAUUUAUUGUCAUGCAUGUGACCAUGAAACUUCAAUCAUUCAAAUUUUAGAAUUCUUCAUUGUUAUAAAUAUAAUGUGAACAGCCAGUGAAUAUUUUAUGUUUAGUCGCAUGGUUGCCGUAAUCUUUAUGGGGGAAACGCCGUUUAACUUUACGACUCUACUACUACUGGCUGAGGUUACUAUAGCUAUCCUCUGUAGCAUGCGCUAUCGUUUCAAGUAUUGCAUAGCUCGUGUAUAUUGUUUGUACUACAGUGUAGAGUCUACCCAAGAUCUCGUCCUUAAUAUAUUCUACCGUAUCAAGUCUAUCCUUUCUCUUGUCUAUAGUAUGUAAUACUCUAUCAAAGAUGCCAUAUCUCUCGUCCACAGAAUGGACUUUGAUUUGAGAAAUGUGGUUAAAUUUUCAGAUAACCUACAAUAUUUUGACAGUUAUGUAUUUAGAACCCGAUUUUUAAUGUGGACACAGAGUUAAUAAUGUUUGUGAUGGCUAUCACUAAGGAUACGUACUAUAUAACUUGGAAAUAACACCUCAGUUUUGGAAUGACUGCGUUACUUAUACGUACAUUAAUAAAAAAUGAUGGGUGAGGUAGAAAAUAGUAAGAGGAAAAGAGGAGACAUUAAACAUAAGCGAGUACAUACUCUGGGAACAAACAUGAUUUUUCUGAACUGGGAGGCCUCAUGAUUCGUAGAAAUUCCGAGCAGAGAGAGGGGAGAGAUAGAAAGACAAAGAGAUGGAGAUAGAGAGAGAGACAGAGGGAGAGAAGGGGAGAGAGCGAGAAACAGAGAGAAGGAAAGAGAAAUAGAGGAGAUAUAUGGCAGCGAGCUGGCAGAAUCGUUAGCACGUCGGGCGAAUUGCUUAGCAGUACUUCGUCUGCCGUUACGUUCUGAGUUCAAAUUCCGCCGAGGUCGACUUUGCCUUUCAUCUUUUCGGAGUCGAUUAAAUAAGUACCAGUUACGCACUGGGGGUGAUGAUGUAAUUGACUUAAUAAUUUUGUAUGUCCUUGUUUGUCCCGGACAUCCUUGUUACUUAUUUAUAUUCAAUAUAUAUAUAUAUAUACAUCAUUAUUCUUCAUUUAGGGAUAGCAGUAAACGUUAUAGCACAGGACUAAGUAAAUUGGUUUGGUAUCUUAAAGACAACAAUAAGGAUUUUAAGUUAGAUUGCUUCAUCCUGUCCAUAUCUUUCCCUUAAGACAAGGGCAAAGGAUUUUGUAACAUUUGAAGCUAUGAACUCUUCCAUACUCGCUUCUCUAAGAAUCACCUUGUUAACACACUUAUAGAGCGAUGUUACAAAUGUAAGCACUGGCAGAAACAUACCUUUAGCUCAUAUAAGUGAUUUUACCAGUCUUUAUAGUUUGAACAUUUAGUUCACCUUGCACUUUACUUCAGUAGAGAAAUCUACUUCCAAGACUUUGAACAUUUUUUCAACCAAUAUAUCCCUCUUUAUUUGUUCUCUACUUAUUAUUUCCUUACCCCUUCUCUUUCUAGGGUCUGCCUUUGACGUCGAAUCUACUAACAUUUAUGCAAUCAUCAAAAUUGUUAUAAUGUCUUGUUGAGAUAGGUUCUCUUUCUUUCCUGAUGAGAAGAUUACAUUACUUUACACUGUUUAUUCCUUUGGAAUAAAACCAAUGUUAUCUUCGAAACAUAUGUCGAAAGUAAAACAAUUUGAAUAACAUCAGCGUUCAGCUCCAUUUAUAUAUAUAUAUUAAAUAUAAAUAAGUAACAAGGAUGUCCAGGUAUCAAUACAUUAUGGCCAUUUCGAGCGGCUCCAUUUAAUCGAUCAAUGAAAACAUUGCAUCAAUUUGAAAGAAAUUGAUCUCCACAGACGUGGAUUUCCAACAUAAAGGAUAAACCAUUUUAACAAAUUUAUAUCAAUACUAGAAACCAAAAUAAUUACAUUGUUUCCUUGUGUCAUAUUUGUGGAAGCAUUAGUUUAGAAAUAUAAUGCAAGGCGGUGCUCCAGCAUGGCCGCAGUCAAAUGACUGAAACAAGUAAAAGAGUAAAAGAGUAAAAGAGAUACCUUAUUAAGCGUACUAUAAUUUAGAGAGUAGCGAAGUAAAGUAGUGGGGGUCGAGAUAUUGGAGUGGUGAGAUAGAUAUUUAUAUUUAGAAGAUUUUAUGCAGCAUGUAGUCUACAACCAUUUAAAAUUAAAUCCAUUAGGAGUUGUCAACUGCGUUCUAGUUGAUGGUGAUUAAUCAAUUAAUGUCAGACAUUCUCCCAGACUCUUACUUUACUGGAACCAUAUAUCUAACUUUAUCUACAUAACAGGAUGUGUUUCAGAGCUGCCAGUAAGAAAAUGACUGAUGGUGAAGAGGUGAUAACUAGCAGAAGGAAAGAUAGGAGUAGCCAAUACUUAUUUAGAUUAUGAAAUAAAAGGGGAAUAUAAUGAAAAAUAAAAGCGAUAAUAUAAGCUCUAAGGGUGGAAAUGUAUUGAUAUCAGGACAUCAUUGUUGCUUAUUAACAUUCUGUCCACCUAUAGUCAGCUGUACUAACUAUACCGAACUAGUUUGGUAUCUCAGUUUAAGUACCUAAUUCAAAUGAAUCUUAAUUAUAUAUAUAUACUGAGACCCCCUUCGGUCACGACACAGACCAUGGGAUUGCACCUAGGAAGAUACCCUACCAUGCAUAAGUCCGGGCAAGGUUGUUUAUAGAAGAUCAGCAGUCGUCCAUGGAUACCGGCUUCCCCUCUCCAUGCCACCAGUGUUACCCAAGGGAAAGGCAAAGGCCGAUACAGCUUGGCACCAGUGACGUCGCAAGUCAUUUCUGAGUGAACGUGAAAUAAAGUGUCUUGUUCAAGAACACAACACGCAGCCCGGUCCGAGAUUCGAACUCUCAACCUCACGAUCAUAAGCUCAACGCUAUAACCACUGAGCCAUGCGCCUUCACAAAGGUAAAGUCGAGCUCGAUGAAGUUUGAACUCAGAAUGUAAAGACAACCAAAAGGUGACUAAGCAUUUUGUCGGGUGUGCUGACGAUUCUGCCAUUUCGUCGCCAUAUAUAUAUAUAUAUAUAUAUAUAUAUAUAUAUAUAUAUAUAUAUAUAUAUAUAUAUAUAUAUAUAUAUAUAUAUACAUACAUACAUACUCACAGACACAUGUACCUACAUACAUAAAUGCUUACAUGCAUGCAUAUAUAAACGCACAUACUACACGGCUUUUAAUAAAGAAGAUUCCAAGAUUUUUACAAAUUCGAAUUAUUUACAUUCUAUAUUUCAUUUUAAUAAUUCUGGAUAACGAAAACAAGUUGUAUAUUAACGCAUCUAAUGUGGUUUACUUUCCAUUGUAACCGAGAAAGCCAAGAAUAUAUCUCCUCUCUAGAGUCAUUGUAUUUGAUUUGAAUUUUAUAGCUUCAUAGCGUUGCUUCAUUGACUUUGGCGACGUUUAUAUCCACUGAGCAAUUUUCUUUCAUAACGACUCUCGUUCAGUAGGAUUUGUAAAAGCUUUUGAUGUUUCUUUUAAACCAUUUUGCCUUUUAACUCUAAUUCAGAUUAAACAGUCUCUUGGGGGUGUAGCAGGUUGUUCUCUUUACUCAGGCGUUUCGUUUAAUUUUUUUUGCUUUGUUUUCCAAAUGGCUUCUAGUGUUUCUUUAAUAUUGCUUCUAUUGUUUCAAUAAUAAAAUUAUGAAUACACUAUAAAUAAUUAUUCAUGAUAUAAUAUAAUAUAAUAUAAUAUAAAUACUCUAUUCUAUUCUAUUACAUUACAUUACAUUAAAUUAUUUGAAUAUAAUAUGAUAUAAAUAUAAUGCAAUAUAUUGGGUUGUCCGGAAAGUUCGUGCCGAUUUUUAAAGGAAAGAAAAAGGUCAAUAAAUACUUGCCAUUACAUUUUUAAUCAACCAAAUAUGAACCAUUUUGUUGCACAAUGCGUCUCCAUCUUUCCUUUAACUUGAAAAUACCCUCUUCCCAGAAUUGAGGUGGUUCCAUGGCAAAUAAUUCAUCAAGGUAUCUUUUUACGUCAUCCAAGGAAUUGAAAUUUUUACCAUUAAUACUAUUCUCCAGAGAACUAAAUAAAUGUAAUUCCGAAGGAGCAAUAUCUGGUGAAUAUGGAGGAUGAGGUAACACAUCCCAGCCAAGCUGCAGAAAUUUUUGUCUGGUUCCCAAAAAAAGGUGCCGUCUUGCAUUAUCAUGUUGGGAAACAUCCUGUUGGCCAAUUCUGGACGUUUCUCUUGAAUUGCUGCUUUUAACUCGUCCAGUUGUGUUCAGUAUUUCUCAGAAUUAAUUGUCUGGUUACUUGGGAGAAGCUCAUAGUACAAAAUUCCUUUCCAAUCCCAUCAGGUACAAAGCAAGACUUUUUAAAGAUAAAGAACCCCUUUUGGGGUGGCUAAGUGUGGUUCAUGUCGCUUACUCCAGGUUCGCUUUCUCUGUACAUUUCGGUAGAUAAUCCAUUUCUCAUUACCAGUAUAAUUUGCUUUAAAAAAGGCGCGUUUUCAUUCCGUUUAUAAAGCGAAUCACAGAUGCAAAUGCUAUCCGAAAGGUUCUUCUCACUCAACUCAUGUGGUACCCAAACAUCGUAGCGAUUUGUGUACCCAAGUUUUACCAGGUGCUCGUGAAAGACGGAUUUUGAUAGGCUGAGGCUUUCCACGAAUUCUAGGGUGUGCAAUGUGGGUUGUUUUCAAUUAAUGACUUGAUUUGGUUAUCAUCUGUAGUAGAUGGUCUGGCUGAUCGCUGUAUAUGAAUAGGGCUACAAUUUCCAGCUCGGAACCUUGCGAACAACUUCCGUAUAGUUCUUUCGGGUAAAGAAGCAUCGCCGUAAACUGCGCAUAUUUCUUUGGUUGCUUGUGAAGUAUUUUUCCCUUUACAGAAAAAGAGAAGCAUCAAGUGCCGAAAAUGAACUUUUUUCUCUUUCAUUUUAAAGGGUUACAGAAUAAACACAGGUUAUAGGAACAUAAACCUUCUUCCACGAAAAGAUAGCUUAAACUGUACUCUAAAUGAAGGUGUAGUUAAAUCCUAUUUUAUGGACUCAACCAUGUUUUAAAAUAAGUCGAAAGGUAAGCUACUAUAAAUCAGCACGAACUUUCCGGACAACACAAUACAAGAGGUUCAGCUCAAAAUGUCAUCGUUAAUGAGAAUAUUGUUGUCAUCGCUGAUUAUGAAAAUGAAAAUCAUGAUGAUGAUAACGACGACGACGACGAAGAUGAUGAUGAUGAUGACGACGACGAUGGCGACGAUGAUGACGGUGAGGAGUAGGAGUAGAAAAAUGAAAGCGAUAGGAUGAGAUGAAAGGGAUAAAAUCAAGUCAUUUUUUAAAUCUUAAUCGGUUUGUGAUUGUCUUGAAGAACUAAAUAUAAAACAUCAUUUGGUGGAGAAAGAGAGAGAGAGAGAGAGGUGACCUGAGCAGCUAGAAAAUGAAUACAUUAGGUUUUCUACCGGGUUUAUAACAUAUUUCACCAUUGGCUAGUAAAUUAUGAAUUGAAAGAAAGCCGCUAGUAUUUUGUUAUUUUUUUAUGAUUAAGUUUUUAUUCUACCCGCUUUGGUUACGCGAAAAUAAAACUUAGUAUAGCCGCUGAGAAUGUGCCUGACGAUAGACAAUUCAUUUAUGCAAGCUAACACUAUUUCUUCAACUCUCUCAGCAUUUCAGAUAUUGUAAAAUAACGGACUUAUGUAUACCCAUAUAUGCGAAAUAAUGACAUAUUUAUUUUAGAGACAUUAUAGUAAAUAGUUCUAUUAAUUGAGAUAAACGGCCGCGAAUAUGAGCUGUGUAUCCCUCGCACUUAUGUACUUGCCUCUAUAUCUUGUUACUAUCUUCGCAUUAUUAGAUAUUUAGAAAUGCUUUCUGUUCAUCCGAAUGCUAAACACUCAUAUUCUCUAUUAAACUAAGCUAUAUAUUACUCAUAAGUGUAAACUGUCGUUUGAUGGCUUCUGCUGAAAAUAUUUAAUUAAAGCAAGUACAAAAUUCAUAUAUUAAAUUCAUGACCGAUUUUCUAUCGAAUACAAGUAAUGAAUUAUGAGUUGAGAUAAAUUGCUAGCGUUUAUUUUCACCCGUCUUUCUGUUAUCCUAAUUUUCUCCCACAUCUUCUCGCGCUACCACCGUUCCUCUCCUCUUGUUUAAUUUAGGUCUUGAGUCAUAGUCUCUGUAUUUUACAUUGAUCUAUCUGUCCUUCGUUUUUGUUAAUGCACUCUAUUUAUUUAACGUGUUCGGUUGCCAUGAAGGUUAAAAGGCAGCGAGCUGGUAGAAACGGUAGCACGCCGGGCGAAAUGCUUUGCGGUAUUUCGUCUGCCGUUACGUUCUGAGUUCAAAUUCCGCCGUGGUCGACUUUGGCUGUCAUCCUUUCGGGGUCGAUAAAUUAAGUACCAGUUACGCACUGGGGUCGAUGUAAUCGACUUAAUCCGUUUGUCUGUCCUUGUUUGUCCCCUCUGUGUUUAGCCCCUUGUGGGUAGUAAAGAAAUAAUUAUUUCAUCUGCUACUACUGAGUUCAAAUUCCGCCGAGGUCGACUUAGCCUUUCAUUAUUUCAGUUCGAUUGAAUAAGUACCAGUUACGCACCGGGGUUGAUGUAAUCGACUUAAUCCCUUUGUCUGUCCUUGUCAGUCCUCUCUAUGUUUAGCCCCCUGUGGGCAAUAAAGAAAUAAGAAGUUAAUAUAUCUAAUGUGAUAUCAUAACACGCCCAAUGUGUUUAUAUCAAAAUUCAUGUUUAAGGGAGAUAAUACUCAAACGCUAUUUUCAGUUUAAAAAAAAAGCACUAACAGAAUAAGAAAAACAAUGAGGACAUUGUUUUCAAUCUUUUUCCCCAGACCUUAAAUAUUUUUCAAAAAUGAUUUUGAUGUACAAAAUGAACGAUAUCAAAUCUCAAACUCCAGGAUUCUAAACUUAUAAUCCAAUUUAAGAAGCAUGCUCUUGUAUUAUCAUCAGAUGUAAUCAUGCAGGUACUCUAGCUUAAGAGAAAAUUAUUCCCGCUGCAACAAAAUGGUGCACAUAUAUUUGUUUGCUACCUUUACUUUCUAACUUAGGUUGUAUCGAACUGAUUCAUCUAUACUUCCCAAUAGCGCACUAAACAUUCAUUUUCUAAUGAAGAAAUACAUUUAGAUAUUGGAGACAAUGAAUAUUAGAUGAAACGAGUGGGAAAAAAUGAAUCACGUGAUAACAUCUUGACAUUUUACUUAUGAACAUGUAAAGGAAUAACAUACAUACACACUCAUAUACACAUACACGCAUACAGGGAUAACAAGCAGCUGGCACAUAGUUAUAUAAAGUGCUUUUUCAUUCGUGCUUUAUCUAUCUAUCUAUCUAUCUAUCUAUCUAUCUAUCUAUCUAUCUAUCUAUCUAUCUAUCUAUCUAUCUAUCUAUCUAUCUAUCUACCUAUCUAUCUAUCUAUCUAUCUCUGUAUGGAUGUAUGCAAGUAUGUAUAUCCAUCUGCACACUCACACACACACACACACACACAUACUUAGAGUGAUUGAGAGAGAAUGGGAGAGAGAAAGAAAAGAGAGAGAGAGAGAGAGAAAGAAAGAGAGAGAGAGAGAGAGAGAAAAGGGAUGAUAUGUAUUCUUGUACAUUUGGUAAACCUCAUUAGAAGUCAUCUAACUGAACGCAAAUCUUUAGCAUGAAGACUGGGGCUUCCAUUUGAUGUAGAGCCUUGAUGUAAACCAUGCAGAAAGUGUCUUGUGUAACAGUAGAAGAUCUAUACAAUUGAAGAUGGCAUUUCGAAGUAUGGAAAUUCUGUACAAUAGCAGGGAUUAGGAAGAAGGUCAAAUAUUCCUUGGAACCUAUCUGCAUAACUUCAGAAUGUUAUUCUUGAUUGGUCAAGUUAAAACGUUCUAACGAAAUACUACUUAUAUAUAAUCCAACACCAAAAUUUAAUUAGAGUAUACGGCCACAAGUACAGGAAAUUAUGGUGAUGGAAAUAUACGCAUGCACAUGCAUGUGUACCGAUCACAAGAAAAACAGUAUCUUUCAUUGACGAUUUACUUAUCUUCCUAUUUCUGUACGCACGCACACAUCCCUCACCCCCUCUCUCACACACACAAACACAGACACACAAGCAUAAACUCACAUAUAUAAAUAUGGAUUUGUACAGAUAGAUAGAUAGGUAUGCAUAAGAUACAAGUAUUUGUACAUGUGUGUAUAUGUAUAUAAGCGCGUAUAUCUAUAUCGCUCCAUAUAUGUAAGUAGGUAUGUAUGUGUACAUAUACAUACUUACACACAUAUAUAUAUAAUAUGCACAUGCAUAUAUACAAAAAUAUAUAUAAUACACACAUAAAAAAUUAGUCAAGAAGACUAUAUAUUAGUCAUACGAUAUAGUGUAUAUUUAUACACUUUAACGUGAAGUCAACACAUUAGAAAGAACAGCUAGGUUCUGUAAACCACAAAAAUAACGGAUAAAAUUCGACAGGAAUAAAUUUGGAAAUGAAAAACAUUUACCAUCUAGUAUUCUGAACCAAUUGGUUUCUGAUCAUGUUUUAGCGAGCCAGGGGGAACUCACAAGGUCUGAUUUUCUUCAGCAAAGUCCAACCUAGGGUUAAACAUAUCCAACAGGAGACAAACAAAACUACUUGUCUCGUGUUCAUACGAACUAACUUUUCAAAUUUUACUGCGCAGACGCAGUCCAUUCGCUGGCUACAAUGAAAAACCGCCAACUUUUAACCGAAAAUUAUCCAAAAACUUAUAGCAUUUAAUCAUAUCGAAGGGAAAUGGAAUUUAAUUAAAAUUAAAAUACUCAAUCAAAAUUUACAUUUCCAGUGGUCUAACGCGCAAAAAAAAUUAGUCAAGAAGACUAUAUAUUAGUCAUACGAUAUAGUGUAUAUUUAUACACAUAAGGAAUCCACUUUAUCGUGAAGUCAACACAUUAGAAAGAACAGCUAGGUUCUGUAAACCACAAAAAUAACGGAUAAAAUUCGACAGGAAUAAAUUUUGAAAUGAAAAAUAUUUACCAUAUACAUAUAUAUAUAUACAUACGUACACACACACACACACACACACACACACACACAUAUAUAUAUAUAUACAUACAUACAUGCAUACAUACAUACAUGCAUACAUACAUACAUACAUACAUACAUACAUACAUACAUACAUAUAUAUAUAUAUAUAUAUAUAUAUAUAUAUAUAUAUCACCUUGAUCACCUUGACCGACCAGUCAAUCGGGAGUCCAUUUGACACCACUGGUCACAGCACGCUGUCCACUCCUCUCUGGAUCGCACCUUUCUCAUCCACGUGAUCCUAAUCGUCCUCCUGAAAUCGUAACUCCACCGUCGUGGAGGCCAUCCGGGUGGUCGUUUCCACUCGCGCGGGUACCACUCGACAACUGCACGGGUCCAUCGAUUAUCGGUGAGCCGGACAACGUGUCCAGCCCAUCUAAACUUGCUGCGUGUAUACUCUGCUAUGACAUCCCUCACACCGGACUUCUUUCUGAUAUAUAUAUCAGGAGUAUAUAUGAUUUCCUGAUAUGUAUAUAUAUAUACACGAUUGAAAUGAAAAACGAAAAAAGGAACAUUCAUCAUAUAUAGAAAGAGAUACAUGUAUUAUUUAAACGAGUUUGAAUCCGUUCUAUACGACUUAAAAUUUUGCAGGCCUUUAACAGUUGCCCGUCACUUUUAGGAAAGAGAUGAGUUCCUGUUAGGGACCUGCGAAAAUUUUAAGUCGGAAGGAACUGUUUUAAACAACAUACAUGCGCGUGUGUGCGCAUGAGAGCGCAUGACCAAGUGGUUAGGGGUUUGCACUAGCGAUCACUAGAUUGAGGAUUCAGUUUCUGCUCGGGGGCGGGGUGUCGUGCUCCUGAGCGAAACACUUCAUCUCGUAUUGAUCUGUGAUCCCUUCCUCAGCAAACCUGUGGUACACUGUGCCUUUAGAUCUAAUGUACUACACAAACAUCCAAUAACAACAAACAAAUCAGUUGUGAAGGUUUGUUCAGAAAAAAAUUGUAGAACCAUCUUUCUCGGACAACGAGAGACUACCAUCAAAUCAAAAUUAAAUAUAUUCAUAUAUAACCCAAUCCUUUUCCUAAGUGGACCUCGAAUUACAUGUAAGGCUAUAAAUAAUAGCGUAUAGUGUUGUUAGUUACUGGUUUUGUAUCUUGAAGUGUUUCAAAUACGUGAGAAUGAAUAUUCUUUUAUUGUCGCAGAAAGACCGUAUAACGAAUAAUGGAAACGCAGCUGAAUAUAUAGUAAAAUUCAAGUCUAGCUCACACUACUGAAUAUAUUCUGAUUGUAUUUUACAUCGCUGUGAAAGAAGUAAUGAAGGACCUGAAUAUAACGAUGUGUGGCUUCAACGGCAUGUAUCUGUUAGAACCGCUCGUGUGUCUGGCCCCGUCGCCUUAUUGUUUGGCUUAAUGUAAAGCAGAGCUCUCGUAUUAAUAUGCACUGUAUCUGAAAUACCUAAAAAUAUUUUUCUUUUCUUUUUGUUUUUUAGAGUGUUUCUGAAAAUUUAUAUAUCAU
rnacentral:lncRNA from 1 species